UUCGUUUAUCUUGUUUCUUCUCUAUCAAAGCCAAAGAUCUCUGUAGCGGAACGGAAGAAAUCGACUUUGCUCCUGCACGGCCAGCGAGAGAAUGGGCGACAUCGAUGGUGGUGAGGUGGUUUGUGUAGUUUGUUUGAACCAUUGCACCUAUGAGAACGAGGGAAGCGGUUUCAACAUGUAUGCAUGGGAGGACUUCGGAAACGCAGGGGUAAACUCACCGGGUUGUGCCAUGUAAUGAAAGGGUCUGUUUCAACAUGACAUGAGAGAAGUGAUGUUUGUGGCAAACCAAUGGACGUACACUGUAAAGUGUUACAAGGGUCGCACAAAGAGCACAAUUUAUGGGAGAGGUUGGAGGAAGUUUUGUGCAGACAACAAGCUGGGGAAGGGCCCGAUGGUGGUGUUCUUCCUAGACGAGCCUUCCCCCAUGGGCAAUUGUUUGUGUGAUCCAAUUUGGCAAUGGCUCCGAAGAUGAAGAAUCUAUGGAAUAAGAUGAUGCCAUUGAAGAUUUAAAUGAAGAUGAUGAGGAUGUAGAAGCUUCCAGCGACGACAAUGAAGGCAUUGUUCACAAUAUGAGCACUAUGAGGCUCUAGCUGAAUGAGAUAGAGGAAUUUGAGCUACAAGGCAUGCUGCCCCUCAGCGAUGGUUUCAUUGGUUUGCCUUUCGUUCACCGCCUCAGGAGGACAGAUGUUCAAUUGGACAUGAUGCAGUGCACGGGCACUGACAUGGAUGACGAAGGAAGCGACCCUGAGAACGACAAAAAUGCAAAGGCAAGAGCACUGUGUUGAAAAUCCAGAGUGAGAAGAGGGAGGAUAUCAUGUACUCCCUCCGUUCUAAAAUAGAUGACCCAACUUUAGUAUAAAAUUAGUAUAAAGUGGGUCAUCUAUUUUGGAAUGGAGGGAGUAGAAAUCACUGACACGGAAGCAUUGAAGGGUUUUCUUUUUGAAGAAGUUGCUAAACGUUUGUAACCUUUUUCUAAAUAAUUCAUAUUUUCUCCAAAGUUUUUUUAGUAGUUGAUACAGGAAGUUAACUAACACAUGACCUUUAACUUGUUGUGUUGCCGUGUCUCCAUACUUCUUGCUGAA